ACUGUCGGCCUCCAAUUGUCUACGUAGAAGAAUCUUCAGAUGGCCUGGCGGUAGGGAGGCUCUCGCCGAUCGAAAAAUACCAGAAGCUGUUGAUCUACCAUACCAUCACCAGCGAAGGAUCUACUCCUAGUUCGCUGCCCUUCGAAAAUGUUGAGGUAGAGAUGGACACUACCAGACCGGCUGGAGAAAUCAAGAGGAGGAAAGGCAGAGGGAGCGGCGGCGGUGCAAAGGGCAAGAUGUGGAUUUGUGCUUCUUCUCUUUUUUUCUUCUGAGGGAAGCAAGAUGGAUUUGUGAAACCUAGCUAGAAGAAAGGCGGAAAGGCCGCGGCGGACGAGUUGGAAUUUAUGGGCCUUUUGGCCUAUAUAUGAUCCAAAGUGAACUUGGCCCAAAUAAAUUUAUGCGCUUGUAGAGAAGUCAAAGGGUGGAGGAUAUGAAAGUUCGUAAAUACAUACUAGUGCGCGUGCGCUCGCUUAUCGUCUCGAGCGGCCGCGGCGACACAGCCCCAGUGCUAGACGACAAGGAAGCAUAGGCCACAGCGCUAGAAAAAUCGCCGCUCAUCUCAAUCCUCUUCUCAUCUCCCGGCUCCGAGCACUUUUCCUCUCCAUUCCUUCCUCCUCCUUCCCUGACCAGCCGGCCGCCGCCCCCGUGCAGAUUCAAGCCGCAGCCAUGGCGUCCGAGCGCACGCGACCCGUCCUCCUGCCGACCGCUGCCAUCGGCCUCCGGCGCGCAGCCGCGCGUGAACCCGGACGGAUCCGAUGAGCUCCGCCAUGCCGGAUCUGAGGAGCUCCACGCCGGAUCCGCCCGUCCACGGAGUCCCCGCGUUCUCCCCCUUCCUCCCAUCCCUUUCCCUUUUCCUGGUGCGGUAGCAGCCGACGACAGGCGAAGGCGAGGUUGCAGCCCGCGAUGGCGGAGUCGAGAGGCAGCAGCCGGUGACGUCAAGCGCAUCUAUGGGAUAGUUGCACGCUCUAGACCGUAUAGUUGGCAGGAGACAUUGUACAGUGAGGCAGUCACAGAUCUAGCUGUGCCAACCCCAGACAUUAUCUUGCCAACUUCAGAGUACAAACUGCCAAGCAAACCUGAUACAGUGCCAACUCAAGAUCUCAGCAUAACAUCUAGCAAAGUACCAAACAGACAAAGGCUCAGUGCCAACUCCAGGAGCCAUUGUGGCAACUCUAGUAGCCACUGUGUCAACUCUAGCAUCCAGUGAGCCAGCUGCAGGUCCAAAUGUGCCGACUCCAGCAACCGCUGUGCCAACUCCAGCAUCCAGUGAGCCAACUGCAGGUUCAACUGCGCCAACUCCGGCAACCACUGUGCCACCACCAGCAGCUAUUGAGCCAACUGCAGGUUCAAAUGUGCCAACCGGAGCAACUUCUGAGCCAACUGCAGGUCUACCUGUGCCAACUGCAAGACAUUUUGUAGCCAACUAUCAGUGGUGUUGGGCAACCUGUCCAACCUCUUUUGCCAACAGCUCAAGAAGGCACAAGGUUUGAUCAUCAAAACAAACUAACCAAGAAGGAAGUCUACAGGAAUCUACGCUUUUUUGAAGAUGACAAAGCCAUGGAUAAAUAAGGUCUGUAGGGGAGGUGAAGGGGAAAUUAAAAAGGAAGAAAUUCAAUGGAUCCUCACUUUUCCCUCCUUCUGGUUGCUGUGGUUGCACAGUUGUGUCUGCAGCUGGCUCACUUGCUGGUGGAGUUGACACAACGGCUGAUACAGUUGGUUCAUUUGGUCCUACAGCUGGCUCACUUGCUGGUGGAGUUCACACAACGGCUGAUACAGUUGGUUCAUUUGGACCUACAGUUGCCACAAUAGUGGCUGGGUUUGCUGGUUUGCUGCUUGGGAUGCUGACAUACUUACCAUGUUUUUGCACAUCUUUUUUGUUGCACAUAAUUUUUCCACACGGUGUGGCUAUAUAUUUGGCUGCUGGAACUGAUUUAGUUGCAUGAAAGCAGCUUCAAUUUGCCUA